UUUUAUUUGAGAGUUUGAUCCUGGCUCAGGAUGAACGCUGGCGGCGUGCCUAACACAUGCAAGUUGAGCGAUUUACU
rnacentral:rRNA from 1 species